rnacentral:rRNA from 1 species
UGGGGAAUUUUGCGCAAUGGGCGUAAGCCUGAACCAGCCAUGCCGCGUGCAGGAAGACGGCCUUCUGGGUUGUAAACUGCUUUUACCGGGGAACAAAAGGCCCAUGCGUGGGAGAUUGCGUGUACCCGGUGAAUAAGCACCGGCUAACUCCGUGCCAGCAGCCGCGGUAAUACGGAGGGUGCGAGCGUUGUCCGGAUUUAUUGGGUUUAAAGGGUGCGCAGGCGGCCUUUUAAGUCAGGGGUGAAAUCCCACGGCUCAACCGUGGAACUGCCCUUGAUACUGGAAGGCUUGAGUACGGUUGAGGUAGGCGGAAUUUAUGGUGUAGCGGUGAAAUGCAUAGAUACCAUAAAGAACACCGAUAGCGAAGGCAGCUUACUGGACCGUCACUGACGCUGAGGCACGAAAGCGUGGGGAGCGAACAGGAUUAGAUACCCGCGUAGUCC